UACGGAGGGGGCUAGCGUUGUUCGGAAUUACUGGGCGUAAAGCGCGCGUAGGCGGACCUGCAAGUCGGGGGUGAAAGCCCGAGGCUCAACCUCGGAACUGCCUUCGAUACUGCGGGUCUCGAGUCCGGGAGAGGUGAGUGGAAUUCCUAGUGUAGAGGUGAAAUUCGUAGAUAUUAGGAAGAACACCGGUGGCGAAGGCGGUUCUCUGGGCCUGUACUGACGCUGAGGAACGAAAGCGUGGGGAGCGAACAGG
rnacentral:rRNA from 1 species